GGAUAAAUUUCCCUGGGGAGCCAAGGCCCUGCUCCCCCUGCCCUUCCCACCGGAACCAGGAUCGAGCAAUCCGGAUUCGGAAAGGUUUGAUGCGGAUCGAGUCCUAUUUAAACAGUUGCAGAGGCGGUGGGUCAGGAAAUCGGACUUGGAGCGGAUCCCGCCUUCUCCCCUUUUUUGUUUUUUGCACGACCAGGUCGGAAAAAGCAGUUUCCCCCCCCCUCCUCCCGAAUGGAUUCGUUUCUUCCCUUCAAGCACCGAAAGCCCUUCGCUUCUAGGAAAAACGAAGUGGCCGCCAUCCGGAUAAAAUUUCCGGGCAAAGUACCGGUCAUCCUGGAGCGCUAUUCCAAGGAGAAAAUGUUGCCGGCCUUAAACAAGAUCAAGUUUCUAGUCCCACAGGAACUCACCGUGGGACAGUUUGUCACGAU